rnacentral:rRNA from 1 species
UACGUAGGGAGCAAGCGUUGCCCGGAAUCAUUGGGCGUAAAGCGCGCGUAGGUGGCCCCGUAAGUCCGCUGUGAAAGUCAAAGGCUCAACCUUUGAAAGCCGGUGGAUACUGUGGGACUAGAGUACGGAAGAGGCGAGUGGAAUUCCUGGUGUAGCGGUGGAAUGCGCAGAUACCAGGAGGAACACCAAUAGCGAAGGCAGCUCGCUGGGACGUUACUGACACUGAGGCGCGAAAGCGUGGGGAGCGAACAGG